UACAGAGGGGGCUAGCGUUGUUCGGAAUUAUUGGGCGUAAAGGGCGCGUAGGCGGCCGGAUAAGUCUGACGUGAAAUCCCUCGGCCUAACCGGGGAACUGCGUUUGAUACUGUCCAGCUCGAGUCCGGGAGAGGGCAGUGGAAUUCCCAGUGUAGCGGUGAAAUGCGUAGAUAUUGGGAGGAACACCGGUGGCGAAGGCGGCUACCUGGACCGGUACUGACGCUGAGGCGCGAAAGCUAGGGUAGCAAACAGG
rnacentral:rRNA from 1 species